rnacentral:lncRNA from 1 species
GAAAAACUGCGGAGUAACUUGACAACUUCGUUCGAGGUGUUCCCAAUCUCUAAAAAUCACGAAAUUAAAUCUGGAAUGUCCUUAAAUAUUGAAUUUUUGAUCUGGAAAUUUUGGGCACCAAAUUCAACCCGCUGAAUCUUUUUUUAAAUUUUUAUUGAAUUUCGUAUUUUUAUAUUUUUUUGACUUUUUUGACUGAAUUUUUUGCGGGAAUAAAUUUUUUUAUAUUCAAUCACAGUGCCACAAAUAUGUAUGUAAAAUUUCAGAUCAAUCGGGAAACGUUUACCCACUCAAAUGAAUUUUUUUUGAACAAUUUUUUUGGGUAAAACUGCUGUUUUUGCUUUAAAAAAUAGAGAUCAGUUUAGAAAUCAACCAAGAACACCCAAAUCGCCCAAAAUCUAAUACCAAAUGAUACGGG